GCCGCUUUAGCUCAGUAGGUAGAGCGUUUCCAUGGUAAGGAAGAGGUCGUUGGUUCAAAUCCAAUAAGCGGCU
rnacentral:tRNA from 1 species